AGUAAAAAUGUCUCAAUGUGAACUACAUCCCACAAUUCCUCCACAGAGUGGACCAGCAGAGCUCAGAGGUUCCCAGUGGUCAGUCUUCCAAGCAGCAUCAAACACAGCUGGACUCCAUAUUUAUGCUGCUGGAGGACAACAUCAUCACUUUUGUGAAGAACGAGCUGAAGAAGAUCCAGAAGGUUCUGGGUCUAGAUUACCCAGAAUGCUUAGAGAGUCAGAGAGUGGAUGAUAAGAAGGGGAGGAGCAGCAGAGAGGCAUUUGUGAAGAUAACACUGGACUUCCUGAGGAGAAUGAAACAGGAGGAGCUGGCUGACCGUCUGCAGAGCAAACUUUCAGCUUCAGUUUGUUGGCAUGAACAUAAAACUAAACUAAAAAAUAAGUUCCAGUAUGUCUUCGAGGGAAUCACUAAAGCAGGAAACCCAACCUUUCUGAAUCAGAUCUACACAGAGCUCUACAUCACAGAGGGAGGGACUGCAGAGGUUAGUCAUG